UAGAGCACCCCUGGCUUCAAUCCCCAGUACCACAAGAAAAAAAAAAAAAGAGGGCUAGAGAUGUAGGCCAGAGGAGAGUACUUGCUUAG
rnacentral:miRNA from 1 species